ACUCUUAACCUAAUCGGGUCAAACCCAACUGAAUCCAAUUCAAUUGGACUUGAUCCAAAAAUAAUUACUCAAUCAAAUUGAGUUAAUUAGUGAUCAAAUCACUAAUUAAAUCUCUCAUAAAUAUUGAGUCCAAAUUUGAUGGGUAAUCGGGCAUCAGAAUUCAUCGAUAUGUAACCCUGAUCGAAGAGUCCCAAACCAGUGGGACUCUUGACCCCGGUACCCAAAAUGUGUGAGACUCGUGAUCAGAGAAUCUUAAUUCUCGAUCACAGAGUCUCAGACAUGUAGGACUCAUAGUCCAGAGCAUUAGGACUCUUCAUCAGCCAUC
rnacentral:lncRNA from 1 species